GGGUUGUGAGGUUAAGCGACUAAGCGUACACGGUGGAUGCCUAGGCAGUCAGAGGCGAUGAAGGACGUGCUAAUCUGCG
rnacentral:rRNA from 1 species